rnacentral:lncRNA from 1 species
CUCCCUGCAGCAUUUUUUAGAAGGUACCAAAUAAGAAAAAUGUGGAUGAAGAUGGAGAAAGCAUACAAAACUUUUACACACUGGUUUGAAGAGGGCAAGCCGUUGUGCAUUUCUUGAAGUCAGGUGCUCUGCUCAACAGAAGGUGUGCUGAAUAACGUCACAGGCUCUGUUCCCGGGAGACAUGGAAAAGCUGUCACCGCGCAGAACAUAAAGAACAGGCCAAGAGCAGUGCAGGCAUCGACGACUUUCUCCAUUCAGAGCCUCCACGCAUCCCAAAUAAAUAAACACAUCAAAACGUGCAA